rnacentral:sRNA from 1 species
ACAAUCUGUAAGUAUCACAUCCUGUAUAGCUCUAAACACUGGAAUAAGGAAGGGCUGAUGACUUUCAGAAGAUGAAGGUAAGUAGAAACCAUUGAUGGGACUGAGAAACCAGAGUUAAAAUCUCUUGGGAGCUUCUGAGGACUCAGCUGGGACCAACGGGCCACAGUUGGCAACACCAUUAUGACAUCACAACCUGUUCCCAAUGAGACCAUCAUAGUGCUCCCAUCAAAUGUCAUCAACUUCUCCCAAGCAGAGAAACCCGAACCCACCAACCAGGGGCAGGAUAGCCUGAAGAAACAUCUACACGCAGAAAUCAAAGUUAUUGGGGUAAAUCUAAUUCAGAAUGUGUUGGAGAGGUGUUGGGGGAAGUGCCAAGAGAUGAUGUAUGUCUUGGGACUGGACAUCUGUCGUGAGUGUGGAGACCCUAAAGUUUUGCCAGAGGGACUUUAGGGUAGAAGCCACUUGGAGAAAACUGUCCCAGAACUUUUCCACAAGAGGUUGUCUUAAAAAUAUAUUUUCCCUUAUUCUGAAUAUGAGGAAUUGAUUUUCUAUUGUUGUCUUUGUAUUUUUACAAUACAGUGCUUCUCUAUAUUUUCUUUUACAAAAGUAAUGGUGGUAAAUAAUUACAUAUUGUGUGUAUGUGUAUAUAUUUCACAAUUGCAUGCUUAAUAAUCCAAACUGACUUUUUGCAAAUAAUUUUUCCCUCACUGCAAAUUAGAGGAAAUAUACAACUCCUUUCCCUCUUUUCUCCUUACCUUUUUGAGAAUGGAAAUGAUAUUCACCUUUUGUUUGUCUGUUUCUCCUCUCAUCCAGAGUUUAUUAAAGAAGCUGUAUUGCAUGAAGGGAGGAGAGAAAGAAGGGAUCUAUCUUGGAUUGGGAGGGGAACACAGAGUUUUGGUUUGUAGACUUGCCUCUGCACUUACGUGAUCUGAGGUGAGGCACUCUGUUUGACUGGAUUUCAGGACCUGGUGGGACUUGUUUCCUUGCCUCAUGUACAGUCACGUGGGUUUCUAUGAGGUUCAUGUGACAUAAGGUCUAGAAAACUUCUCGGUAAAUGAUAAUAGAGCUGUGAAUCUCUGAGGUGGAUGUCCAGGAGGGAAAACUACCUCCUAAGACAGAGCUUUGGUUAUACAUGAGAACAUGCAGUAUUUGGUUUCUGUCCCUUUUAGUUUGCUAAGGGUGAUGGCCUCUAAAUGAUGAGAACACAUGGACACGUAGAAGGGAACAAUGCACACUGGGGCCUUUCAGAGGGUGGAGGGUGGGAGAAGGGAGAGGAUCAGGAAAAAUAACUAAUGGAUACUAGAUUUAAUACCUGGGUGAUGAAAUAAUCUGUACAGCAAACCCCCAUGACACAAGUUUACCUACAUAACAAACCUGCACUUGUACCCUUGAACUUAAAAUAAAAGCUAAAAAUAAAAGAGCUUCCCAAACUUCAGCUAUAGGGUUGUGAACUGCAGUUUCCAAGGAGGUGACCAGAGGGGCAAACUCCGUGUCCAGUGGAGUCUUGGAGAUGAGGGGAGGGACUUCUGCACUGCAAAUACUGCAGAGAAUGUGGGGGCUUUCAGGUGCCCCCUGUUUUCAGAGAGGUAGAAAGACAGUUAACUAGUCAUGGACUUAGAGGUCCUGAGAGCUGGGAAAGCAAAUCCCAGCACUUGCUGUGAGCUGGAAGCAAGUGUCAUGAGCAGACCAGGGCCUGUGAGGCAGAAAUGCAGAAGCCUUCCUGAGCACCUGCCAGACACCUGAGACUGUGGCUUCUGUGGCAGAGCUGCACACCCUCCAGGAUGUCUUUUCAUAUUUCUCACUCCAGAGUUUCCACAGGGUUUGUAUCCUCAUUAGGAUCUUGUAGAAGGCGAUAAUGCAUUAGUGCCAUGGAAGCGGCAAAAAGGCCCUGUCUUUACAAAUGCUGGUUUUCAUCCUCAAUCUCCCUUUCUCUUCCCACAGACUAUCCAGAUCUUGUGUGGCAUGAUGGUGUUGAGCUUGGGGAUCAUUUUGGCAUCUGCUUCCUUCUCUCCAAAUUUUACCCAAGUGACUUCUACGCUGUUGAACUCUGCUUACCCAUUCAUAGGACCCUUUUUUGUGAGUAGAGUUUCUAAGGAGGGCAGGAUGGGGCAAAGAGGGGAGGAAGAUGCCAAUAGCUUAGACUUUCCACCUGCCACCUUGCUAUGUUUGAUCUGCCAGGAGCAAGGAGUCAAUGGUGAAGCUUGUUCUCCUGUGUGUGUAGUUCAGAGAGGAUCGAGUGGGGUAGGAUGACAGGGGUUGCCUGAUUUUAGAUCAAUUUCUUAUCAGACUCAAAUAAGCAUUUCUUUUGAAGAUCAUCAUAUUUUCACGUUAUCAUCUUGAGCUAUGAUGAAGCUAGUGACUUCUCUCUAGAUUUAGGCAAAAAAAAAAAAAAAUCCCAUGGAUUAGGAUAAAGUUGGGAAGGAACAUUUUAUACAAAAAAAAU